AUUGAACGCUGGCGGCAGGCUUAACACAUGCAAGUCGAGCGGGGGAAGGUAGCUUGCUACUGGACCUAGCGGCGGACGGGUGAGUAAUGCUUAGGAAUCUGCCUAUUAGUGGGGGACAACAUCUCGAAAGGGAUGCUAAUACCGCAUACGUCCUACGGGAGAAAGCAGGGGAUCUUCGGACCUUGCGCUAUUAGAUGAGCUUAAGUCGGAGUAGCUCGUUGGUGGGGUAAAGGCCUACCAAGGCGACGAUCUGUAGCGGGUCUGAGAGGGUGGUCCGCCACACUGGGACUGGGACACGGCCCAGACUCCUACGGGAGGCAGCAGUGGGGAAUAUUGGACAAUGGGGGGAAACCUGAUCCAGCCAUGCCGCGUGUGUGAAGAAGGCCUUAUGGUUGUAGAGCACUUUAAGCGAGGAGGAGGCUACUCUAGUUAAUACCUAGGGAUAGUGGACGUUACUCGCAGAAUAAGCACCGGCUAACUCUGUGCCAGCAGCCGCCGUAA
rnacentral:rRNA from 1 species